AUGGCCAUGGCCAUGGCCAUGGGUGCAAAGUCAACGAUGAAGAAGAGCUUAUUGCUAAUAUUGUUUGUGUGCCUGCUAACCAUCACUGUGACUGAUUGCGCAACGGAGAUCCCUGCCCCUGUUCCCCAGGAUCCUCCGGGAAACAAAAUCUGCGGUGCCGUCAGCAAAACAUGGCCCUGGUUGAAGUUUUGCGGCAGGCACGGCACCUGCAAUAAGCCAUGCCGGGAAGAAGGGUUCGAGGGGGGCUACUGCGGCAUGUUCCCCUUCGUAUCGACCUGUUGUUGCACCAAGCACUGUCUCAGAGCCGCCCCUGGGCAGUCCGUGCAACCCGUGCACAAGGGCGACAAACAAAUUCAAGCCAUUUUUAGAGAAUGUUGA
rnacentral:rRNA from 1 species